GCGCUUGUAGGCAAAUGGCAAAGCCACUGGACUUAAAAUCCGGAGUAUGAGAGUUCGAAUCUCUCCAGGCGCAC
rnacentral:tRNA from 1 species